rnacentral:rRNA from 1 species
UGAGGGAUAUUGGGCAAUGGGCGCAAGCCUGACCCAGCGACGCCGCGUGGGUGAUGAAGGCCUUCGGGCCGUAAAACCCUUUUCUGCGUGACGAGACAAGGACGGUAGCGCAGGAAGAAGUCUCGGCUAACUACGUGCCAGCAGCCGCGGUAAAACGUAGGAGACGAACGUUAUCCGGAGUUACUGGGCGUAAAGGGCGUGCAGGCGGUCGGUUAAGGCCGUUGUGAAAUCGCCCGGCUAAACCGGGCGUGGGCGAUGGCGACUGAUCGGCUGGAGGACGGUAGAGGCGGGUGGAAUUCCGGGUGUAGUGGUGAAAUGCGUAGAGAUCCGGAGGAACACCAGUGGCGAAGGCGACCCGCUGGGCCGUACCUGACGCUAAGACGCGACAGCAUGGGGAGCGAACGGGAUUAGAAACCCCGGUAGUCCAUGCCGUAAACGAUGCCAACUCGGCGUUCGAUUCCCGCAAGGGGGUCGGGUGCCUCAGCUAACGCGGUAAGUUGGCCGCCUGGGGAGUACGGUCGCAAGGCUAA